rnacentral:misc_RNA from 1 species
AGAACCUUGCUCACGAACAUGAUCACUUGGAGGAGAAUCAUAUUCAGUGUUGAGUUUUCCGAAGGAAGGAAGAUCAUGUAAUUUUGAUGGCUGGUGGUCUUCAUGAAGUUGAUGUGAGUCACGAUCAACACCCGUAGGAUCAAAAGAAUGUUGAUGAUCAAAAUGUGGCUUUUCUGUAGUAGCUGAUUGAUCAAGAGUAUCUGUAUGAAAUGGAUUCUCAUUACUAUCCUCAGGGAACUUCUCACUAUUUUUCUUGGUGAGCUCACUAAUCCUGGCCUGUGCAAGAGUAGCUGCUGAGCGGGCUGCUGCUGCUGCACGUUCAGCAGUUUCUGCAGCAGCUUGAGCAGCAGCUAAAACAUCCUG